rnacentral:tRNA from 1 species
GCGAGAGUGGCGGAAUUGGUAGACGCACUAGGUUUAGGACCUAGCGGGUAACCGUGGGAGUUCGAUUCUCCCCUCUCGCACCA